AACGCUAGCUACAGGCUUAACACAUGCAAGUCGAGGGGAAACGAUAUUGGAAGCUUGCUUCCGAUAGGCGUCGACCGGCGCACGGGUGAGUAACGCGUAUCCAACCUGCCCACCACUUGGGGAUAACCUUGCGAAAGUAAGACUAAUACCCAAUGAUAUCUCUAGAAGACAUCUGAAAGAGAUUAAAGAUUUAUCGGUGAUGGAUGGGGAUGCGUCUGAUUAGCUUGUUGGCGGGGUAACGGCCCACCAAGGCAACGAUCAGUAGGGGUUCUGAGAGGAAGGUCCCCCACAUUGGAACUGAGACACGGUCCAAACUCCUACGGGAGGCAGCAGUGAGGAAUAUUGGUCAAUGGACGAGAGUCUGAACCAGCCAAGUAGCGUGCAGGAAGACGGCCCUAUGGGUUGUAAACUGCUUUUAUAAGGGAAUAAAGUGAGUCUCGUGAGACUUUUUGCAUGUACCUUAUGAAUAAGGACCGGCUAAUUCCGUGCCAGCAGCCGCGGUAAUACGGAAGGUCCGGGCGUUAUCCGGAUUUAUUGGGUUUAAAGGGAGCGUAGGCCGGAGAUUAAGCGUGUUGUGAAAUGUAGAUGCUCAACAUCUGAACUGCAGCGCGAACUGGUUUCCUUGAGUACGCACAAAGUGGGCGGAAUUCGUGGUGUAGCGGUGAAAUGCUUAGAUAUCACGAAGAACUCCGAUUG
rnacentral:rRNA from 1 species